rnacentral:lncRNA from 1 species
AGACAUCAUGAUGGAGUUCAAAUUUUCUCGACUCCACCCUCUUGCCGAUUCGCUGAUAAUUUUCCACCGUGCUUGUAGAAUACCGAAAGCUCUCUCAACAUCUUUCCAGUAUGCCUCUUGGUGUAAGGUAAACAACUUUUCUGCAUCAUUCCUAGGGUUUGGAAUUGCUUGGACAAGUGUCGCCCACUUUGGGUAGAUGCCAUCUGCCAAGUAAUACCCCAUAUUGUAUUCACGGC